ACCUGCGGAGGGAUCAUUACUGAGUUUACGCUCUACAACCCUUUGUGAACAUACCUAUAACUGUUGCUUCGGCGGGUAGGGUCUCCGCGACCCUCCCGGCCUCCCGCCUCCGGGCGGGUCGGCGCCCGCCGGAGGAUAACCAAACUCUGAUUUAACGACGUUUCUUCUGAGUGGUACAAGCAAAUAAUCAAAACUUUUAACAACGGAUCUCUUGGUUCUGGCAUCGAUGAAGAACGCAGCGAAAUGCGAUAAGUAAUGUGAAUUGCAGAAUUCAGUGAAUCAUCGAAUCUUUGAACGCACAUUGCGCCCGCCAGCAUUCUGGCGGGCAUGCCUGUUCGAGCGUCAUUUCAACCCUCAAGCUCUGCUUGGUGUUGGGGCCCUACAGCUGAUGUAGGCCCUCAAAGGUAGUGGCGGACCCUCCCGGAGCCUCCUUUGCGUAGUAACUUUACGUCUCGCACUGGGAUCCGGAGGGACUCUUGCCGUAAAACCCCCAAUUCUCCAAAGGUUGACCUCGGAUCAGGUAGGAAUACCCGCUGAACUUAAGCAUAUCAUA
rnacentral:rRNA from 1 species